rnacentral:rRNA from 1 species
GACGAACGCUGGCGGCGUGCUUAACACAUGCAAGUCGGACGGAAAGGCCCCUUUGGGGGUACUCGAGUGGCGAACGGGUGAGUAACACGUGAGUAACCUGCCCUUGACUUCGGGAUAACUUCAGGAAACUGGGGCUAAUACCGGAUAGGAAUCCUUGCUGCAUGGUGGGGGUUGGAAAGCUUCGGCGGUUUUGGAUGGACUCGCGGCUUAUCAGCUUGUUGGUGGGGUAGUGGCUUACCAAGGCUUUGACGGGUAGCCGGCCUGAGAGGGCGACCGGCCACAUUGGGACUGAGAUACGGCCCAGACUCCUACGGGAGGCAGCAGUGGGGAAUAUUGCACAAUGGGCGGAAGCCUGAUGCAGCAACGCCGCGUGCGGGAUGACGGCCUUCGGGUUGUAAACCGCUUUCAGCAGGGGCGAAGCUUGUGGUGACGGUACCUGCAGAAGAAGCACCGGCUAACUACGU